GAUGAACGCUGGCGGCGUGCCUAAUACAUGCAAGUCGAGCGAACAGACGAUGAGCUUGCUCCUCUGACGUUAGCGGCGGACGGGUGAGUAACACGUGGAUAACCUACCUAUAAGACUGGGAUAACUUCGUGAAACCGGAUCUAAUACCGGAUAAUAUAUUGAACCGCAUGGUUCAAUAGUGAAAGACGGUUUUGCUGUCACUUAUAGAUGGAUCCGCGUCGCAUUAGCUAGUUGGUAAGGUAACGGCUUACCAAGGCGACGAUGCGUAGCCGACCUGAGAGGGUGAUCGGCCACACUGGAACUGAGACACGGUCCAGACUCCUACGGGAGGCAGCAGUAGGGAAUAUUCCGCAAUGGGCGAAAGCUUGAAGGAGCAACGCCGCGUGAGUGAUGAAGGUCUUCGGAUCGUAAAACUCUGUUAUUAGGGAAGAAAAAAUGUGUAAGUAAAUAUGCACGUCUUGACGGUACCUAAUCAGAAAGCCACGGCUAACUACGUG
rnacentral:rRNA from 1 species